UUUUAACACACUAUUUAUAAUUGUAUAAACCUUUCUUAUGUCUUUCCUUGAUCAUUUUUUCUACCUGAUAAGAAAGGUUUAUACAAUUACAAAUAGUGUGUUAAAA